rnacentral:misc_RNA from 1 species
AGACAGGUUGUAUGCUAUGAUGUAGUAAGGCAGGAAUAAGUGCGGUGGUCAGUGAAGGUGGAGUGAGUGAGUGUAAGAGAUAGGUGUGGAAUGGCUUUAUGAGGCAUAGAAGUUGAGAGGAGCUAGUGGUCGCGGAGUGGGGAGGUAGAAGAUGAACCACUGUGUUAUUGGUGGAAGUGGUAUCAAUUUUGCUGUAAAUGAUUUUUCUUUAUCUUUU